rnacentral:misc_RNA from 1 species
GAUGAAGAACGUAGCGAAAUGCGAUACGUAAUGUGAAUUGCAGAAUUCAGUGAAUCAUCGAAUCUUUGAACGCAUAUUGCGCUCUCUGGUAUUCCGGAGAGCAUGCUUGUUUGAGUAUCAGUAAACACCUCAACUCCCUUUUCUUUUUUGAAAUUGGAGCUGGACUUGAGUGAUCCCAACGCUUUCUUCCAAGAAAGUGGCGGGUUGCUUGAAAUGCAGGUGCAGCUGAACUUUUCUCUGAGCUAUAAGCAUAUCUAUUUAGUCUGCCUAAAAAACAGAUUAUUACCUUUGCUGCAGCUAACAUAAAGGAGACUAGUUCUUGUGCUGACUGAUGCAGGAUUCACAGAGACAGCUUCGGCUGACUUUGUAAACUCGAUCUCAAAUCAAGUAAGACUACCCGCUGAACUUAAGCAUAUCAAUAAGCGUAGGA